AUUGAACGCUGGCGGCAGGCUUAACACAUGCAAGUCGAGCGAGCGGCGGACGGGUGAGUAAUGUCUGGGAAACUGCCUGAUGGAGGGGGAUAACUACUGGAAACGGUAGCUAAUACCGCAUACCAUCUGAUGUUCCCAGAUGGGAUUAGCUAGUAGGUGGGGUAAUGGCUCAUCUAGGCGACGAUCCCUAGCUGGUCUGAGAGGAUGACCAGCCACACUGGGACUGAGACACGGUCCAGACUCCUACGGGAGGCAGCAGUGGGGAAUAUGGCACAAUGGGCGCAAGCCGGAUGCAGCCAUGCCGAGUGUGUGAAGAAGGCCUUCGGGUUGUAAAGCACUUUCAGCGAGGAGGCGUUACUCGCAGAAGAAGCACAGGCUAACUCCGUGCCAGCAGCCGCGGUAAUUC
rnacentral:rRNA from 1 species